CCUACGGGGGGCUGCAGUGGGGAAUAUUGGACAAUGGGGGGAACCCUGAUCCAGCCAUGCCGCGUGUGUGAAGAAGGCCCUCGGGUUGUAAAGCACUUUCAGUGAGGAAGAACGCCUGGUGGUUAAUACCCAUCAGGAAAGACAUCACUCACAGAAGAAGCACCGGCUAACUCCGUGCCAGCAGCCGCGGUAAUACGGAGGGUGCGAGCGUUAAUCGGAAUUACUGGGCGUAAAGCGCGCGUAGGUGGCUUGAUAAGCCGGUUGUGAAAGCCCCGGGCUCAACCCGGGAACGGCAUCCGGAACUGUCAAGCUAGAGUGCAGGAGAGGAAGGUAGAAUUCCCGGUGUAGCGGUGAAAUGCGUAGAGAUCGGGAGGAAUACCAGUGGCGAAGGCGGCCUUCUGGACUGACACUGACACUGAGGUGCGAAAGCGUGGGUAGCAAACAGGAUUAGAUACCCCUGUAGUC
rnacentral:rRNA from 1 species